GUACGUAUAGCCAAGUGGUAAGGCUGUUGGUUGCAACCCAAUGAGCGUCAGUUCGACUCUGACUACGUACU
rnacentral:tRNA from 1 species